UUUUUUAAUAAUAUAGAUGUGUAAAAAAAAUAAAUCAAAAAGGAUAAAAAGAAGAAGAACCGGUGUUAAAUGAAGGCGCUUUAGAAUUGGUAAGAACCGGUACGUGGCAAGUUUCUACUGGACAUCUCAUUAAUGGCUCUCUCUCUUUGUCGGGGUAUUGGACCGAAAAUCAUUCUUUCUCUUCCUCCUCCAUCUCGAUCUCUCUCUCGAUUCUGCUCUGGCGAUCCUGCUCUCAAUCUUCGUCGGGGUUAUGAUUGAUGUUACAAAGGCGAUCCUCGAUCGAUCACUUCAUCUUCUCUCUCUGGGUUGAAAGAUGAUUCUUUUUUGUUACACCGAGAAGCCUCAAAAAAAGAAGAAAAGAUAGAGACAGAGAAGAAGUCGAAGAUGGAUUGAAAGACGAAGCAGAAGAUCAUAUCGGGUCUGUAAACAUUUCUCCUUCGACCAUGAAUGAUCUCGAGAAGGUGUAUCCGUGGAGACAAAGGUUCUCGUGGAGACGUUUCUACCCUCCCAACACUUGUGGUACUACUUAGAGCGACACUAGAAGGUGGAUCCAAUGUUACAUAAGAAGACAGCAGAGUGUAAUAUGGUCUUAGAUGAAAGCAAGACAUGUGACAGAAGAAGAUAAAAAGAAACACUUGUUGGUACGUUGGUCUCGAUUUUGUGUUUCCAUGUGAAGAAGAAGAAGACAAACAUAAACUUGCAAGUUGUAUUCAUAAACAUGCUCACGCUUUCUCUUUAUAAACGAGUGUAAAAGAACAAGUUGUAUUUAUAAACAUUGUCAUCUCUCUCUUUAAACAUUUCCAUUUCUCUCUUUGUAAACGAGUGUAAAAGAACAAUUUCUAUUUUGUUUUUGCCUUACCAUUUGUCUUGUUUUUGCUUUACCAUUUUUUUAUAAACGAGUGUAAAAGAACAAUUUCUCCUUUGUUUUUCUCAAUUGUUUUGGUUUUUUUCUCAUCAGCAAUUGAAAAAUGAUUUGGUUGAGAAUAUAUGGCAAAAGUUUGGAACAAAUCAAGAUUUCAACUAAUCGGUUGUUUCUCGUUUACGAUUUGUAUUUGUAUCUUUAAUAUGUUUUUAUGUAAUUUGUAUUUCAAUUUUUAUGUAUGUUUUUCUUUAAUGUUAUGAUAUCUAAUCUUUCAAACUUAAAAAAAAAAAAGAAAAAAUUAAGAACCUCGACGAUGUUCUCGCAUUGGAUGCUCCAAAAAUUAAUUAGACCAAAAGAGGUUCUAAACUAAUCAAAUCACAAGAUGACUAAUUUAUUCAUUAGAACCCUAAAGGGUCUCAAACCAAUGGAGGUGGUCUAAAGAUAAAUACUUUGAAACCCAUGUUUUGAAAAUAUAAUUGAUGGCGAUGACGAUGGCGACUGCGACUGCGACGAUUGCGAUCUAGUUUUUUUGAUGGGUCUUCAAGAUGGAGAGGAACAGCACUGGGUAGAUCAUCAUCAGAAUAGUGUAAUCGAAUCGAUUUGGAAGCGGAAGGAAGAUUCGGGACACAGAUCUUAAAAGGAUAUUUGGGCAAAGAGGAAAGUAGGGGUUGGAAGAGGGGAGGGAAUCAAUGGGAUUUCAUAUCGAACAAUCUCAGGAUUACGGAGGAGAUAUUCUCACAAUGGCUCCAAGAUUUGGCGGGGACAGAUGGACAAGCGAGUUGUGGUUUCAACACUCUCUCCGCACUAAAGUACAGUUCUGUUCUUGGCUUGUCUCUCUUGUUGGUCUUAAUGGCUCGGAGCCAGCUUAUUGGUAAGGUUGGAAACAUCAAGUCCGGUGAAGGAGCUCACAAACGUUUGAAGAUUGCAGUUCAACACUUCCUGGGGUCUGUCGUUUCUGGUUAUUGUCUCUUUCUUAUUUUCAUAACUCUAUGAGCAUUUUUAUCUGUUUUAUUUCAGUUGGUUAUUUGCUUCAAAGUGUAUUUUUUUAUGGUGGCUAGAUCUUUAUAUAAGAUUAUGCUAUGGAAUAAAAUUGAAUUUUGUUGGUA